AGUGAACGCUGGCGGUAGGCCUAACACAUGCGAGUCGAACGGCAGCACAGUAAGAGCUUGCUCUUACGGGUGGCGAGUGGCGGACGGGUGAGGAAUACAUCGGAAUCUACUUUUUCGUGGGGGAUAACGUAGUGAAACUUACGCUAAUACCGCAUACGACCUACGGGUGAAAGCAGGGGAUCUUCGGACCUUGCGCGAUUGAAUGGGCCGAUGUCGGAUUAGCUAGUUGGCGGGGUAAAGGCCCACCAAGGCGACGAUCCGUAGCUGGUCUGAGAGGAUGAUCAGCCACACUGGAACUGAGACACGGUCCAGACUCCUACGGGAGGCAGCAGUGGGGAAUAUUGGACAAUGGGCGCAAGCCUGAUCCAGCCAUACCGCGUGGGUGAAGAAGGCCUUCGGGUUGUAAAGCCCUUUUGUUGGGAAAGAAAAGCAGCAGGUUAAUACCCCGCUGUUCUGACGGUACCCAAAGAAUAAGCACCGGCUAACUUCGUG
rnacentral:rRNA from 1 species